GAUGAACGCUGGCGGCGUGCCUAAUACAUGCAAGUCGAGCGAACAGACGAGGAGCUUGCUCCUCUGACGUUAGCGGCGGACGGGUGAGUAACACGUGGAUAACCUACCUAUAAGACUGGGAUAACUUCGGGAAACCGGAGCUAAUACCGGAUAAUAUAUUGAACCGCAUGGUUCAAUAGUGAAAGACGGUUUUGCUGUCACUUAUAGAUGGAUCCGCGCCGCAUUAGCUAGUUGGUAAGGUAACGGCUUACCAAGGCAACGAUGCGUAGCCGACCUGAGAGGGUGAUCGGCCACACUGGAACUGAGACACGGUCCAGGCGCCUACGGGAGGCAGCAGUAGGGAAUCUUCCGCAAUGGGCGAAAGCCUGACGGAGCAACGCCGCGUGAGUGAUGAAGGUCUUCGGAUCGUAAAACUCUGUUAUUAGGGAAGAACAAAUGUGUAAGUAACUAUGCACGUCUUGACGGUACCUAAUCAGAAAGCCACGGCUAACUACGUG
rnacentral:rRNA from 1 species